GCUUAUCACGUCCUUCAUCGGCUCUUAGUGCCAAGGCAUCCGCCCUGCGCCCUUAAUAACUUGACC
rnacentral:rRNA from 1 species